GAUGAACGCUGACAGAAUGCUUAACACAUGCAAGUCAACUUGAAUUUGGGUUUUUUAACUUAGAUUUGGGUGGCGGACGGGUGAGUAACGCGUAAAGAACUUGCCUCACAGCUAGGGACAACAUUUGGAAACGAAUGCUAAUACCUGAUAUUAUGAUUAUAAGGCAUCUUAGAAUUAUGAAAGCUAUAUGCGCUGUGAGAGAGCUUUGCGUCCCAUUAGCUAGUUGGAGAGGUAACGGCUCACCAAGGCGAUGAUGGGUAGCCGGCCUGAGAGGGUGAACGGCCACAAGGGGACUGAGACACGGCCCUUACUCCUACGGGAGGCAGCAGUGGGGAAUAUUGGCCAAUGGACCAAGAGUCUGAUCCAGCAAUUCUGUGUGCACGAUGACGUUUUUCGGAAUGUAAAGUGCUUUCAGUUGGGAAGAAAAAAAUGACGGUACCAACAGAAGAAGUGACGGCUAAAUACGUG
rnacentral:rRNA from 1 species